ensembl:snoRNA SNORD24 Small nucleolar RNA SNORD24
UGCAGGUGACGCGAAAGAACGUUUGCUGUCUGAGAGGUGGUGAUGCCAUCUUAAAGCACCGAGAUCGCUGAUGCA